UAUAACUAUAAUAAUACAGGUAGUUAGUGUGAAUAUAACUAUAAUAAUACAGGUGGUUAGUGUGAAUAUAACUAUAAUAAUACAGGUAGUAAGUGUGAAUAUAACUAUAAUACAGGUAGUAAGUGUGAAUAUAACAAGAAUACAGGUAGUUAGUGUGAAUAUAACAAGAAUAAUACAGGUAGUUAGUGUGGAUAUAACUAUAAUAAUACAGGUGGUUAGUGUGAAUAUAACUAUAAUAAUACAGGUAGUAAGUGUGAAUAUAACUAUAAUACAGGUAGUAAGUGUGAAUAUAACAAGAAUACAGGUAGUAAGUGUGAAUAUAACUAUAAUAAUACAGGUAGUUAGUGUGAAUAUAACAAGAAUAAUACAGAUAGUUAGUGUGAAUAUAACAAGAAUAAUACAGAUAGUUAGUGUGAAUAUAACUCUAAUAAUACAGAUAGUUAGUGUGAAUAUAACUCUAAUAAUACAGGUAGUUAGUGUGAAUAUAACUCUAAUAAUACAGGUAGUAAGUGUGAAUAUAACUAUAAUAAUACAGGUAGUUAGUGUGAAUAUAACAAGAAUAAUACAGAUAGUUAGUGUGAAUAUAACUAUAAUAAUACAGGUAGUAAGUGUGAAUAUAACUAUAAUAAUACAGAUAGUAAGUGUGAAUAUAACAAGAAUAAUACAGAUAGUUAGUGUGAAUAUAACUAUAAUAAUACAGGUAGUUAGUGUGAAUAUAACAAGAAUACAGAUAAUACAGGUAGUAAUUGUAUUUCAAAUAACAUUAAAUUGAAUGAAACUUCAUGAAGAUGCCAGCAGAGAGUUACUUGC